rnacentral:tRNA from 1 species
GCGACGACCUCGGCGAGGAUCCGCGGGUCCACCUGCUUGAGGUGCAGGUAGCCGAUCCGCUCGGCGAAGGUCUCGACGGCCCGGACGCUGUCGCCGCCGCA